UCGCGGUUAGUAUAGCGGUCAGUACUCUCGUUUCCCAAAAAGUUAUCCAUGGGCAAGGAAUAAUGAGUGACCCGGGUUCGUCUCCCGGAUUGUGCA